rnacentral:lncRNA from 1 species
UCUAGGGCUGCUCUCGUUCACCUCCAUCGACUGAAAAUCCGGUUAAAAUGAAGAAUCCUUGUAGAAAAUGAAGAAUCGAAGCAACAAGCAAAAAAACUGAAGAGUCGAACUCAAGGCAACGAAUCUGAAGAUUCAAAUUCCUAAAAAUCAAGUAAUUUGUUUCUAAAAUCCUAAUUUAUCACCGAAAAACCUAAUCUUACCUCUAUGAUUUACUGAAAGAGAAGCAGAGAGAUAGACCUUCGGAAGAGGAAUUGAAUGAAUAAAGGUAGAGACUUCUGCUCUG